GCGCUCGUAGCUCAAUUGGAUAGAGUGUUUGGUUACGGCCCAAAAGGUUGAGGGUUCAAGUCCUUCCGAGCGCGCCA
rnacentral:tRNA from 1 species